rnacentral:lncRNA from 1 species
AAGUGAGACUCUGUCUCAAAAAAAAGAGAGACAGUGAAGCGUUCUCUCUCUUCCCCUGGAUGUACACAUGCACCGGGGAAAGGCCACAUGAGGACACAACGCGAAGGAGGCUGUGUGCAAACCAGGAAGGGGGAUCUCACCAGAACCUGGCCGUGCUGGCACCCUGAUCUUGCAUGUUCAACCUCCAGAACUGUUGGAACAUAAAUUGAUGUUGUUUAAGCCACUGGUGCAUGGCAUUUUGUUGCGGCAGCCCAAAUAGAUGCAUCCGUUGGCUCUUUUUUAUUUUCAUUCCAUUGCGUUGCCGGACCCCACUAGGAUCCAUUUAUUUAUUCUCCUGUUCACAGGCAUUUGGAUUAUUUCCAGUUUGGGGCUAUCAUGAAAAAAUUCCUGUUAUGAGCAAUCUUGCACUCUUGGCUAUUCUUUCUCCGCCCCCUCCCUUCUCUCUCAUGCUGCCACCUCCCUUACCGGUUUAGAAUUCAAGUUUGGGUUCUAAUGGCCAGCAGCAUCCAGCAGAGUUGUGUGGAGCCAUGUUUCAUGUCUCUUUGGUAGUUUAAUGAUGGGAAUUCUCAUGAAGGACAAAACUAAAACGAGGAAGGGGAAAUUUACCUCGGCAUUCAGGGGUAGAACUUUUCCCAUGAUGCAUCAUUUCUAGUGAAUUACAUACCCUUCUGCAAGGCCAGUUCUUAUGCUGUGGAGUCAGUUAGACACUGCAGCAGGCCUUGGCUGCAUCAUGGUAGAUGAUGGAGCUGGCUGAGAACACUGGGCCCUGGGGAGCAGGAAGCAGGACCCUUUUGGGAAACCUUAGUAUGGAAAAGAGUUUUUAGGCUACAACUCCAGAAGAGAACUGGCCUCAGUACACAGAGUAGGGUGCAGCUCAGGUAUGACAGGAGCGUGUGCUGGGACCCCAGCCCAGGACCCUGCCUCCAACGUGCCUCCUCUCCACGGGGCACUGUCUGCUUUUCUCACUCCUACAUCAGCCACUCACUCUCAGUGGCCUCCAGCCACUGUUUCCUUCAGAGGAAGUUAGUAAAAGGCACAUGCUGCCAUUGUUAAACCUCUUUAUCCGCUGUGCUGCUGACACACGUUGUCUGAGGCUCUGUGCAAAGAAGUCUCAGCCUAUCCUGAGACGCAGGUGUGUACGAGGCUGUCAGCCCUAGGAAGGCAGCGUUCCCACCAUCCUGACACCACACCUCAAUGGGACAGAACCUCGGCCAGGGUCUCCUUGAUUAAACCCAAUUCCAUUCUCCUGCCAGCGCAGGCCCCUUGAGUCCUAGCCCUCUGCCCUCUCUGCCCCUCCAGCGUUGGUGGUGCUCGUGGUCUUCAGCGCUCUGAUCCACUGUUCUCCCUGCUUUCCUUGUGUCUGCCCAGCUCAGUUGAACUCCUCCAUUCUAGGCCGUUUCAGCUCUACCCUGACUUCCCAGCUGACAGGUGCAUGGUGGCCAUCCUUCGGCAUUUCCACUCUGGCAUUCGCUAAUGAUGAAACUGAAUACCCAAGAGCUCUCCUUCAGCCACACUUAGGACAACUAGAGGUGACCAGGAGUUUUCACUCUCAGGAGCCACCCUCAGCCAGUGGCAAAUGCAAGGAGGAGAAUAAACACCCCAGCUCCUUUGACACUAAGGGGCAGCUCAGAGGCAUGACCCGUGCCACCUGUCCAGUUUUCCCAGCUGCCUGCAGGGAUGUCCUGCUCCUUGAUGGAUGAGCUACCUCCCAUUCCUUUUCCCUGCCUUCGUCCCCACUACUGCCUCCUGGGACCCAAUUACACCCAGACCCUGGUCUCCAGGGCUGCUUCUGGGAGCGUGCAGCUGAUGGCAGCAGUUAAGAGCCCUGCUUAAAACUUUGACCUUCAGCAAGCUCUUUAAACCGCAGCUACCUCAUCUUAGAAUGGGGAUGGUGACAGGGCCUACCAUAUGGGUGACUCUGUAUAGGACAUUACUAUGUGCUGCCACUAAGUCACUGUGCUUAACACAAAUUGUGUCAGUGAAUCUGAGUCAAAUACUGUCAAAAUGUCCAUUUUACAGAUGAAGAAAAGCAGAUCUAGACCAUCCUGACCAACAUGGUGAAACCCCAUCUCUACUAAAAAUACAAAAAUUAGACAGACAUGGUGGCGGGUGCCUAAAGCCCCAGCUACUCGGGAGGCUGAGGCAGGAGAAUCACUUGAACCCAGGAGGCGGAUGUUGCAGUGAGUCGAGAUUGUGCCACUGCACUCCAGCUUGGGUGACAAGAGCGAAAACUCCGUCUCAAAAAAAAAAAAAAAAACAAAAA